AUCCGUCGACUCUACGAGCUCUGGAAGCAACGGCCGCGCCGGAUUUCGCGGAGGUAGCGGAAGUUCCGAUGCCUUCUCCAGAUGAAGCCGCGGCCCAUCUCUCCGGUUCACCACCAUCGCCUGGGUCAUGGAACAACAGGUCAUAUAACAACCAAGCUUAAGGACUGCCGCUGGAGGAUUCCCCCCUUCGCGUUUUGGAAUCGCUCCUAUUUAUUGUUCAUCAUGAUAUAGUUUUAUGAAGAGAUAAUUCAGGCCAGAUGAUAACCAAACAUAUGAAUUAUCCCAUCUGCGCCUCACAAUCGCCUCCAUCUCCACAUCCAUGGAAGAAGAGUCCUGCCUUGGGAGAAUUUUGUUCUACAGAAAGCCAAAUAUGGCAGGAAAAUUAUAUCACUCAAGAAUUGGGUAGUGGUGGCAGGACAGAACUGGUGACGUGGGGACAGCUGCCAGCGUUGGUGUUGUGGAUCUGCCGGAUGAAGGUGAUGGGGGCUAGGACUGACAACCAGCAGCUGGUCGCCCUCCGUGUGACGAUUUGUGAACUUAUAUGUAAUAGGGGAGAUGAUCCAUAUAAGAACUUAAUAAAUGAGGGAUUGGUA